CUCCAUGGAACAUUCAACGCUGUCGGUGAGUUUGGGAUUAAAAAAGAAAAAAACCACCGACCGUUGACUGUACCUUGGGA
rfam:Mesocricetus auratus contig155028, whole genome shotgun sequence.